ACCCAGCUGACGAGUCCCAAAUAGGACGAAACGCGCGUUCUGGGU
rnacentral:hammerhead_ribozyme from 1 species